GAACUCUGUUAGGCGGGAUAUCUAAUUUGUGGGCGGUAUUUCAAAAUUCAAACACGCCUCUAAUCUACACGCCAUUGUCAACCAUUGUCAGAUCUAUCUUUUCUUCAUCUAAUCUACACGCCUCUCUCUCCUUUUCUCUUGCUUUUCCCUCUUUUAUCCUAAAUCUCAGGCUUUUUCCCUCUUUGUGUUGAACACCGAUGAUUUAAAGAAAUCCCUCUCUCUGGUUAUUUUCAACUUAGAGUUUCUUGUCUCCUGUGGUAUGAGCAAGAUCUCACCAGAUCCAACAAUGGCUUGGUCUGUAAUAGUGGUCGAGGCAAGUUCCAACAACCCGAGAACUAGGGUUUUACUUUCAUGUCUGAGGUAAACUCUACUUUGAAUCAACAGAUCUAGGGUUUAAUAUCUCAUGAGAAACCCUAAAUCAAAAAAGAGAAACCCUAAAUCACAAAAGGGGCUUGAAGGAAUUCCGAUCUGAAAUCGCUAUAGGGGGGCUACAAUCGAUUAAUAUUUUUGAGGUAGCUAAACCAGUCCGCCAACCAUAGCCUUUGCCUUGCUUUCAAGCUACUGGAGCCUCUAAAGGAAUAGUUUUCCAUCAUCUCAUGUGCUAAUUUACAUCAGUUGGUUGGUGUUGUUGCUGUUGAAAUUUUGAAGGCCCUGAUAUUAUCCGAGAAGGGAGGACAAAGACAGACGAGCUCCCAGUUGAAGGACUUCUUUUUGAUGAAAAUGAGGGAGAAUACAAUUUGAGGGAUGUAUAUUUAAAGACCAUGGGUCUUGAUGACAAAGACAUGGUGACACUAUCUGGUACAAGAAGCGAAGAUUUAUAAUGUGGAAAAAUAUAAGGAGUUAUGUACAAGAAACGAAUAUUUGAAUCUGGCAACUGCUGCAUCAACAACAAUAGUGGUUGGGGACUACAGAUCGGCGACAAUGAUGACUUGUGGUGGUGGUGCUUGACUUAGAACUGUGAAGAUGGUAGACACCGGGUGUAGAAUAGAGACCUGCAUGUGAGAUUAUUCCGUGAAGAGGCGACGGUGGUGACUACCGGCGAUGGAGAUGACCUCUGGUCACCAGACAAGUGACGAUUGUCAAUGGUAGCAGGUUGGGUUGUGAUUUUGGUAGUAGUGGGUGCUGAUCUAACAAGUUUGGAAUACAAGAGUUAAUAAAAAGAUGAAAUCUUGGACUUGACAGAAAGAUGUAAAGCUGCUUUGAAAUUAGUUAUUGGCUAUGACCAUGGUUUUUAAAAAAAAGGUUGAGGUGUGCUCCUUGAGGUGCGCCUCGAAGUGAGGUGCCCAAAAACGAGUCUUUGGCGGCGCUUCAAGGGGUUAGUUUGUAUGUGCCCCUCAUAGGGCUUAGGCGCUAAAAAAAGCUACACAUCAAGUGCAUCUUAGGGGUUUACCUGUUUGUUUUUUACAUCUCGGUUCACCUCGAGGCGUUUGCCUUGUGAGCGAAGGGAAAACGCCUUGAGAUUUUCUAUUUUAAACCUUGGCUAUGGCUAUGUGGUUUACUGAUUAAAGUUCAAUUUUUGCAAAAAGUUUGGUCGUAUAAGGGCACAUGAAAACCUUGUGUUGAUAUCUUUUAAUGGUUUAUCAAGAACUGGCAUUGAUGACCCGAGAUACGAUACUUGAGUUUGAUUUUAACGAAUAAUCAAGGUUUAGUUUCGUGGCCUCUUUGCAGCAAACAUGGUUGUUUGAAGUUGUUGUAGAGAUGGAGUUCCCGUUCGUGGUUUCAAGUUGCUAAUAUUUUGUUAUACGGUUGUGGACCAGCUCAAUGUGAAAGCAUAAAAGAGAUGCUGGAGUACUUUAGAAGUCAAGUUGGGUCUAAGGCUGGAGUACUUUAGAGAUGCUGGAGUACUUUAGAAGUCAAUUAAGGACAACCCUUAGGAUAGAAAAAAGGCCAAUGAGUAUUCAGGUUGAAUAUUUUUAAUUUGUUGUAUUUAUGAACACGAACUAUAUUAAGAAAAAAAGAAAGUUAUUUUUGUAUUGUGUAAUCAUCAUCUUCUUAGAGUUUUGGCAUGGUUUGAUUUCAUUCUUUGAUGCGCAAUGGAAAGAAUCUUACUUUCACUUAUACUUGUAGCAUUCAUACAAAGUGGUUUAGUCUCGGGUUCAUUGUGUAGCUUUUGAAAGACUUAUGCAACUGGUUAUUUAGUGUUUGUAUACGAAAGCCAAUUGUUUGUGUUG
rnacentral:lncRNA from 1 species